UGGGGAAUAUUGCGCAAUGGGGGAAACCCUGACGCAGCAACGCCGCGUGGGUGAUGAAGGCUUUCGGGUCGUAAAGCCCUGUCAACAGGGAAGAAACCUUGGGACGCGAAUAGUGUCCCAAAUUGACGGUACCUGUGGAGGAAGCACCGGCUAACUCCGUGCCAGCAGCCGCGGUAAAACGGAGGGUGCAAGCGUUGUUCGGAAUUACUGGGCGUAAAGCGCGUGCAGGUGGUCUUUUAAGUUUCAUGUGAAAUCCCCAGGCUUAACUUGGGAACUGCAUGAAAUACUGAAGGACUUGAGUUCGGGAGAAGAGGGCGGAAUUCCCAGUGUAGAGGUGAAAUUCGUAGAUAUUGGGAGGAACACCGGUGGCGAAAGCGGCUCUCUAGACCGACACUGACACUCAUACGCGAGAGCGUGGGUAGCAAACAG
rnacentral:rRNA from 1 species